CCUACGGGUGGCAGCAGUGGGGAAUAUUGCACAAUGGGGGAAACCCUGAUGCAGCGACGCCGCGUGAGUGAAGAAGUACUUCGGUAUGUAAAGCUCUUUUAGCAGGGAAGAAAAUGACGGUACCUGAUUAAGAAGCCUCGGCUAACUACGUGCCAGCAGCCGCGGUAAUACGUAGGGGGCAAGCGUUAUCCGGAUUUACUGGGUGUAAAGGGAGCGUAGGCGGCAACACAAGAUAGGAGGGAAAUGCCGGGGCUUAACCCCGGAACUGUUUUGGAAACUGUGUAGCUAGAGAGCCGGAGAGGUAAGUGGAAUGCCUAGUGUAGGGGUGAAAUGCGUAGAUAUUAGGAGGAACACCAAUGGCGAAGGCAGCUUACUGGACUGGAACUGACGUUGAGGCACGAAAGCGUGGGGAGCAAACAGGAUUAGAUACCCCUGUAGUC
rnacentral:rRNA from 1 species